rnacentral:piRNA from 1 species
UGCAGUGAUGAUGGUGGUGUAAACAA